rnacentral:rRNA from 1 species
UAGGGGGCAAGCGUUAUCCGGAAUUACUGGGUGUAAAGGGAGCGUAGACGGUAAUGCAAGUCUGGAGUGAAAGGCCGGGGCCCAACCCCGGGACUGCUCUGGAAACUGUAAAACUAGAGUGCAGGAGAGGUAAGUGGAAUUCCUAGUGUAGCGGUGAAAUGCGUAGAUAUUAGGAGGAACACCAGUGGCGAAGGCGGCUUACUGGACUGUAACUGACGUUGAGGCUCGAAAGCGUGGGGAGCAAA